GAGACCAAGGAAUGCUCCUUGCUGUGUGUGCCCCCACCCUCCCCCACCUCCAGAUGCGGCCUUCCUCACCCUGCCUCAGGCCCACCGGAGACCCGGAGACAGUGAGGGGCUUGAGACACUUUGGGACCAGGCCCCCCUGUGACCAGAACUCCUGCGACUACGCCCUGCUGUAGCCAGCACCUCUGCAACCAGGACACCUGUGACGGCCCCCUCCCUGCAACCAGGCCUCCUGUGACACCCCCCGAUCCCUGCUGCAACCAGGGCCCCCUGUUGCAACCAGGGCCCCCUGCUGCAACCAGGGCCCCCUGCUGCAACCAGGGCCCCCUGAGACAGUCUCCUCCCUGCAGCCAGGCCUCCUGCAAUGCCCCGCCCUGCAACCAGGCCCGCCUGGGAUGAGGCCUCCCACCCCCGGCCGUGACCAGGCCCCCUGCAUUCUUCUCAGCCCCUUCACCAUCUCUCCUCCUGCCCACCAUUGGCUUACCCUGCAGGUUGUAUCACCACCCGGGACCCUCUUCCUCCUUAGGCUCAACAGUAAUGCUAGUCUUGUUGUGGGCCGACAGGUGUGCAGAAUAAAUGUUGUGGAAUCUUGGGUAAAGAAGACCUGGCGGGAGCUGAGAGCCAGGCACACACGUGUGAGCAUUUGUCUAGCGUGUGAGCACGCUGUCUAGGGCCAGGGCCCCAAGCCGGGCCUGAAUCAAGUAUUCAGGUGUGAGUGGUUUGUUGCGAGGUGAUCCCUGGAAGCCCUAGUGGGACAG
rnacentral:lncRNA from 1 species